GGAAAAUAGAACACAUAUGUGUCAGAUGGUUAUUCAUUAAAUCAUUUCCAAAUGCUAGGACCCUUGUAAUCAGUCCAAGUGCCCCCAAGGUCUGGAGCUCAUACAUGGUGAAACUCCAUGCUAGAACACACAUACAGAUUUUCUCAGCCAUGGCUCUCCUAACAGGAUUUUUUCCAUGUUGUGUUUAAUGAUAUCCUCUUGCACUAAGAUCACAACGUUUUCCCCGAGAGUUUUAUGUUUAUCAUGGGAAGUCAUUGUAGAAUGUGUGUACAACCCACAGAUGACACUGUGAAGGCCUCCCAGCACAAGGGAGACUGAUUCCUUCAAAUAUACCAAUUCUGUUUGCGUUCUUGACUGUGGCUUCUGACUUCUUCCUUCUGAUUCUAUCAGAUCCCUUCUGGAGCUGGUCCUAAUUGCUUUUCACAGAGGAUGCAAACUGGAAAGUUCCUACCUAUUCAGCGAAGGCACUCCAAGUCCUGGGCUCUUUUCUCCUCGGGGGCAAAGAUGAGACUUCUCUUCUGUAGAGAUCACAGGUGCAUCUGUACAGGUUGGAGUGCUCCCCCAACCCUGGACCCCUAGGAGCAGCCGUGAUUUGUGACACAAGGCCCCACCCGUUGAUCUACUCUUCACACAGCCGUGGAGAGCCAAGAACUGGGAGGGAGGAGGAAAUUUGGAGACAGAGACACACAGGGAGAACGCCAUGUGGAGGUGAAGAUAAAGAACACAACGGUGCUUCUACAAGCCAAGGAAUGCCAAGGACCUCCAGCAAACCACCAAGAAGCUCAGGGGGAGGCACAGAACGAAUUCUUUCUCACAGACCUCAGAAGGAACCAACGCUGCUGACGCCUGGAUCUCAGACUUCCAGCCUCCAGAACUGCCAGGGAAUACAUUUCUGUUGUUUAAGCCAUUCAGUUUGUAGUAUUUUGUUAUGGC
rnacentral:lncRNA from 10 species